AUUGAACGCUGGCGGCAUGCCUUACACAUGCAAGUCGAACGGUAACGCGGGGCAACCUGGCGACGAGUGGCGAACGGGUGAGUAAUGUAUCGGAACGUGCCCAGUUGUGGGGGAUAACUGCUCGAAAGAGCAGCUGAUACCGCAUACGACCUGAGGGUGAAAGCGGGGGAUCGCAAGACCUCGCGCAAUUGGAGCGGCCGAUAUCAGAUUAGGUAGUUGGGGGGGUAAAGGCUCACCAAGCCGACGAUCUGUAGCUGGUCUGAGAGGACGACCAGCCACACUGGGACUGAGACACGGCCCAGACUCCUACGGGAGGCAGCAGUGGGGGAUUUUGGACAAUGGGCGCAAGUCUGAUCCAGCCAUGCCGCGUGCGGGAAGAAGGCCUUCGGGUUGUAAACCGCUUUUGUCAGGGAAGAAAAGGCUCCUUCUAAUAUAGGGGGCUCAUGACGGUACCUGAAGAAUAAGCACCGGCUAACUACGUGCCAGCAGCCGCAGUAA
rnacentral:rRNA from 1 species